rnacentral:rRNA from 1 species
UGCAGAAUCCCGUGAACCAUCGAGUUUUUGAACGCAAGUUGCGCCCGAAGCCAUUCGGUCGAGGGCACAUCUGCCUGGGCGUC